GACGAACGCUGGCGGCGUGCUUAACACAUGCAAGUCGAGCGAUGAAGCUCCUUCGGGAGUGGAUUAGCGGCGGACGGGUGAGUAACACGUGGGUAACCUGCCUCAUAGAGGGGAAUAGCCUUUCGAAAGGAAGAUUAAUACCGCAUAAGAUUGUAGCUUCGCAUGAAGCAGCAAUUAAAGGAGUAAUCCGCUAAGAGAUGGACCCGCGUCGCGUUAGCUAGUUGGUGAGGUAACGGCUCACCAAGGCGACGAUGCGUAGCCGACCUGAGAGGGUGAUCGGCCACAUUGGGACUGAGACACGGCCCAGACUCCUACGGGAGGCAGCAGUGGGGAAUAUUGCACAAUGGGGGAAACCCUGAUGCAGCAACGCCGCGUGAGUGAUGACGGUCUUCGGAUUGUAAAGCUCUGUCUUCAGGGACGAUAAUGACGGUACCUGAGGAGGAAGCCACGGCUAACUACGUGCCAGCCGCCGCGGUAA
rnacentral:rRNA from 1 species